rnacentral:RNase_P_RNA from 1 species
CUUGGGUGAUCGCUGCAUACUUAACAUGCAGAGGAAAGUCCAUGCUCGCACAGGCUGAGAUGCCUGUAGUGUUCAUGCCUGACGAAACCAUAAGUCAGGGUAGCCUUUUUGGCUAACGGCAGGGAAAAUGCCUAAGUCCUUAGGGAUAUGGCAUUCCAACCUUGAAAGUGCCACAGUGACGUAGUCAAAGCAGAAAUGCUUUGAGUGGAACGCGGUAAACCCCAUGAGCGAGCAACCCAAAUGAAGGUAGGGGCACUCUUGGAAGGGAAAUGAACCUGAUAAGAGGCAAGCAUUCAUGCUUGCAGAUAGAUGAUUACCACCGGAGUACGAGGUUGACCACCGCUGGCAGUACGAUGGUACAGAACAUGGCUUACAA